rnacentral:rRNA from 1 species
AUUGAACGCUGGCGGCAGGCCUAACACAUGCAAGUCGAGCGGAGCGGCGGACGGGUGAGUAAUGCCUAGGAAUCUGCCUGGUAGUGGGGGAUAACGUCCGGAAACGGGCGCUAAUACCGCAUACUAUCAGAUGAGCCUAGGUCGGAUUAGCUAGUUGGUGGGUUAAAGGCCUACCAAGGCGACGAUCCGUAACUGGUCUGAGAGGAUGAUCAGCCACACUGUAACGGAGACACGGUCCGGCCGCUUACGGGAGGCAGCAGUGGGGAAUAUUGGACAAUGGGCGAAAGCCUGAACCAGCCAUGCCGCGGGUGUGAAGAAGGUCUUCGGAUUGUAAAACACUUUAAGUUGGGAGGCGUUACCAACAGAAUAAGCACCGGCUAACUUCGUGCCAGCCGCCGCGGUAAUAC